AACGAACGCUGGCGGCAUGCCUAACACAUGCAAGUCGAACGAAGGCUUCGGCCUUAGUGGCGCACGGGUGCGUAACGCGUGGGAAUCUGCCCUUUGGUUCGGAAUAACAGCUGGAAACGGCUGCUAAUACCGGAUGAUGACGAAAGUCCAAAGAUUUAUCGCCAGAGGAUGAGCCCGCGUUGGAUUAGGUAGUUGGUGGGGUAAAGGCCUACCAAGCCGACGAUCCAUAGCUGGUCUGAGAGGAUGAUCAGCCAUACUGGGACUGAGACACGGCCCAGACUCCUACGGGAGGCAGCAGUGGGGAAUAUUGGACAAUGGGCGCAAGCCUGAUCCAGCAAUGCCGCGUGAGUGAUGAAGGCCCUAGGGUUGUAAAGCUCUUUUACCCGGGAAGAUAAUGACUGUACCGGGAGAAUAAGCCCCGGCUAACUCCGUG
rnacentral:rRNA from 1 species